UACGAAGGGGGCUAGCGUUGUUCGGAAUUACUGGGCGUAAAGCGCGUGUAGGCGGGUCUUAAGUCAGGGGUGAAAUGCCAGGGCUCAACCUUGGAACUGCCUUUGAUACUGGAGACCUUGAGUCCGGGAGAGGUGAGUGGAAUUGCGAGUGUAGAGGUGAAAUUCGUAGAUAUUCGCAAGAACACCAGUGGCGAAGGCGGCUCACUGGCCCGGAACUGACGCUGAGACGGCGAAAGCGUGGGGAG
rnacentral:rRNA from 1 species